CUGGGUUUGACAUGGCCGCAAAACUGUCAGAGAUGGCAGGUCCUUCGGGGGCGGUCACAGGUGGUGCAUGGCUGUCGUCAGCUCGUGUCGUGAGAUGUUGGGUUAAGUCCCGCAACGAGCGCAACCCUUGUCCCAUGUUGCCAGCAAGUUGUGUUGGGGACUCAUGGGAGACUGCCGGGGUCAACUCGGAGGAAGGUGGGGAUGACGUCAAGUCAUCAUGCCCCUUAUGUCCAGGGCUUCACGCAUGCUACAAUGGCCGGUACAAACCGUUGCGAGCCCGUGAGGGGGAGCGAAUCGGAAAAAGCCGGUCUCAGUUCGGAUCGGGGUCAGCAACUCGACCCCGUGAAGUCGGAGUCGCUAGUAAUCGCAGAUCAGCAACGCUGCGGUGAAUA
rnacentral:rRNA from 1 species